rnacentral:rRNA from 1 species
GACAGAGGUGCCGAGCGUUAGGCGGAAUCACUGGGCUUAAAGCGUGUGUAGGUGGAUGCCUAAGUACCUUGUGAAAUCCCACGGCUUAACCGUGGAACUGCUUGGUAUACUGGGUGUCUUGAGCCAGCUAGGGGCUACCGGAACAAAUGGUGGAGCGGUGAAAUGCGUAGAUAUCAUUUGGAACGCCAAUGGUGAAAACAGGUAGCUGGGGCUGUGCUGACACUGAGACACGAAAGCCAGGGGAGCGAACGGGAUUAGAACCGACGUGU